rnacentral:rRNA from 1 species
GACGAACGCUGGCGGCGUGCUUAACACAUGCAAGUCGAACGGAAAGGCCCUGCUUUUGUGGGGUUCUCGAGUGGCGAACGGGUGAGUAACACGUGAGUAACCUGCCCUUGACCUUGGGAUAACUUCAGGAAACUGGGGCUAAUACCGGAUAGGAGCUCCUGCUGCAUGGUGGGGGUUGGAAAGUUUCGGCGGUUGGGGAUGGACUCGCGGCUUAUCAGCUUGUUGGUGGGGUAGUGGCUUACCAAGGCUUUGACGGGUAGCCGGCCUGGGAGGGUGACCGGCCACAAUGGGACUGAGGUACGGACCAGAAUGCUACGGGAGGCAGCAGUGGGGAAUAUUGCACAAUGGGCGGAAGCCUGAUGCAGCAACGCCGCGUGCGGGAUGACGGCCUUCGGGUUGUAAACCGCUGUCGAAGGAGACGAAGCGUGAGUGACGGUAAUGGGUAAAGAAGCAACGGCUAACUACGUG